CCUACGGGGGGCAGCAGUGAGGAAUAUUGGUCAAUGGACGAGAGUCUGAACCAGCCAAGUAGCGUGAAGGAUGACUGCCCUAUGGGUUGUAAACUUCUUUUAUAUGGGAAUAAAAUGUUCCACGUGUGGGAUUUUGUAUGUACCAUAUGAAUAAGGAUCGGCUAACUCCGUGCCAGCAGCCGCGGUAAUACGGAGGAUCCGAGCGUUAUCCGGAUUUAUUGGGUUUAAAGGGAGCGUAGGUGGAUUGUUAAGUCAGUUGUGAAAGUUUGCGGCUCAACCGUAAAAGUGCAGUUGAAACUGGCAGUCUUGAGUACAGUAGAGGUGGGCGGAAUGCGUGGUGUAGCGGUGAAAUGCUUAGAUAUCACGAAGAACUCCGAUUGCGAAGGCAGUUCACUGGACUGCAACUGACACUGAGGCUCGAAAGUGUGGGUAUCAAACAGGAUUAGAUACCCCAGUAGUC
rnacentral:rRNA from 1 species